UACGAAGGGGGCUAGCGUUGUUCGGAAUUAUUGGGCGUAAAGCGCGCGCAGGCGGUUCUUUAAGUCUGAUGUGAAAGCCCACGGCUCAACCGUGGAGGGUCAUUGGAAACUGGAGAACUUGAGUACAGAAGAGGAAAGCGGAAUUCCACGUGUAGCGGUGAAAUGCGUAGAGAUGUGGAGGAACACCAGUGGCGAAGGCGGCUUUCUGGUCUGUAACUGACGCUGAGGCGCGAAAGCGUGGGGAGCAAACAGG
rnacentral:rRNA from 1 species